GGGCCCGUAGCUCAAUUGGAUAGAGCGUCCGGCUUCGGACCGGAAGGUUGGGGGUUCGACUCCCUUCGGGCCCA
rnacentral:tRNA from 1 species